UGGGGAAUAUUGCGCAAUGGGCGAAAGCCUGACGCAGCGACGCCGCGUGAGGGAUGAAGGUCUUCGGAUCGUAAACCUCUGUCAGCAGGGAAGAAGGUUAUGCGUGCUAAUCAGCGUGUAAUUGACGGUACCUGCAAAGGAAGCACCGGCUAACUCCGUGCCAGCAGCCGCGGUAAUACGGAGGGUGCGAGCGUUAAUCGGAAUUACUGGGCGUAAAGCGCUCGUAGGUAGUAUAUCAAGUCAAGGGUGAAAUCCCCGCGCUCAACGUGGGAACUGCUUGUAAACUGGUAGACUUGAGUGUGUGAGAGGAUAGUGGAAUUCCAGGUGUAGGAGUGAAAUCCGUAGAUAUCUGGAGGAACAUCAGUGGCGAAGGCGACUAUCUGGCACAUAACUGACACUGAGGAGCGAAAGCGUGGGUAGCAAACAGGAUUAGAUACC
rnacentral:rRNA from 1 species